UGUAUAAUGCACACAGAGGCAAGAAAGGCAGGAGUUCAAUUUUGUGGAAGAAUUUAGCGGGUAUUCCUCCCCAACCUAGCUCUACGGAGUGUGGCUACUUCGUGAUGAGAUACAUGCGAGAUAUAAUUGAAGAUAAGGAUCUAUCGUUUGUUCGUAAGUGGGAGAGGAGAAGCAACUACAUGUAUAGCCAAGAGGACAUUGAUGUAAUCCGGAAUGAGUGGGCAAAAUUUGUCGUCAAGUCAUAUAUGUAGGAGCCAUCAAGUAAUUGGUUGAAGGAGAUCGAGGGCAGUUUGUUCAGUUAUAUAUAUAUGCUGAUACAUAUAUUCACAUGCAGCAUAUGUGCAUGUUUUUGGA